rfam:Penicillium nalgiovense strain IBT 13039 PENNAL_contig0001, whole genome shotgun sequence.
CUAUGAUGAUACCCUUUAGAUGACGAGUCUGAUUCGAGUUUUCGAUGCUGACACAAUCUUUUUAAUACCAUUCAUGCCUUUCUGACA